rnacentral:rRNA from 1 species
GAUGAACGCUGGCGGCGUGCCUAAUACAUGCAAGUAGAACGCUGAAGCUUGGUGCUUGCACCGAGCGGAUGAGUUGCGAACGGGUGAGUAACGCGUAGGUAACCUGCCUCUUAGCGGGGGAUAACUAUUGGAAACGAUAGCUAAUACCGCAUAAAAGACGAUAUCGCAUGAUAUUGAUUUGAAAGGUGCAAUUGCAUCACUAAGAGAUGGACCUGCGUUGUAUUAGCUAGUUGGUGAGGUAACGGCUCACCAAGGCGACGAUACAUAGCCGACCUGAGAGGGUGAUCGGCCACACUGGGACUGAGACACGGCCCAGACUCCUACGGGAGGCAGCAGUAGGGAAUCUUCGGCAAUGGACGGAAGUCUGACCGAGCAACGCCGCGUGAGUGAAGAAGGUUUUCGGAUCGUAAAGCUCUGUUGUAAGAGAAGAACGAGUGUGAGAGUGGAAAGUUCACACUGUGACGGUAUCUUACCAGAAAGGGACGGCUA